GACGAACGCUGGCGGCGUGCUUAACACAUGCAAGUCGAACGGAAAGGCCCUGCUUUUGUGGGGUGCUCGAGUGGCGAACGGGUGAGUAACACGUGAGUAACCUGCCCUUGACUUUGGGAUAACUUCAGGAAACUGGGGCUAAUACCGGAUAGGAGCUCCUGCUGCAUGGUGGGGGUUGGCAAUUUUCGGCGGUCGGGGAUGGACUCGCGGCUUAUCAGCUUGUUGGUGGGGUAGUGGCUUACCAAGGCUUUGACGGGUAGCCGGCCUGAGAGGGUGACCGGCCACAUUGGGACUGAGAUACGGCCCAGACUCCUACGGGAGGCAGCAGUGGGGAAUAUUGCACGAUGGGCGGAAGCCUGAUGCAGCAACGCCGCGUGCGGGAUGACGGCCUUCGGGUUGUAAACCGCUUUCGCCUGUGACGAAGCGUGAGUGACGGUAAUGGGUAAAGAAGCACCGGCUAACUACGUG
rnacentral:rRNA from 1 species